AUUGAACGCUGGCGGCAUGCCUUACACAUGCAAGUCGAACGGCAGCACGGGUGCUUGCCCCUGGUGGCGAGUGGCGAACGGGUGAGUAAUACAUCGGAACAUGUCCUGUAGUGGGGGAUAGCCCGGCGAAAGCCGGAUUAAUACCGCAUACGAUCUACGGAUGAAAGCGGGGGACCUUCGGGCCUCGCGCUAUAGGGUUGGCCGAUGGCUGAUUAGCUAGUUGGUGGGGUAAAGGUCUACCAAGGCGACGAUCAGUAGCUGGUCUGAGAGGACGACCAGCCACACUGGGACUGAGACACGGCCCAGACUCCUACGGGAGGCAGCAGUGGGGAAUUUUGGACAAUGGGCGAAAGCCUGAUCCAGCAAUGCCGCGUGUGUGAAGAAGGCCUUCGGGUUGUAAAGCACUUUUGUCCGGAAAGAAAUCCUUGGCCCUAAUACGGUCGGGGGAUGACGGUACCGGAAGAAUAAGCACCGGCUAACUACGUG
rnacentral:rRNA from 1 species